rnacentral:rRNA from 1 species
UUUUAUUUUAAUCCAACAUCGARGUCGCAAUCUUUUCUUUCGAUUUGAACUCUCAAAAAAAAUUACGCUGUUAUCCCUAARGUAAUUUAUUCUUUUAAUCUUCUAAAARGAUCAAAUAUUCAUAUAUAAAUGUAAAUAUACAAAAAAAGUUCAUUAAAUUUUUCAAUCACCCCAACCAAAUUAAUUAUAAUAUAAAAAAACAUUAAAACUAAAAUUUUUUAUAUACAAAUCAAUAAAACUCUAUAGGGUCUUCUCGUCUUUUAUUAUCAUUUAAGCUUUUUUACUUAAAAAUAAAAUUCUAAAAAAUUUAAAUAGAGACAGCUAUUUUUCCAUCCAACCUUUCAUUCCAGCUUUCAAUUAAAAAACUAUUGAUUAUGCUACCUUUGCACGGUCAAAAUACCGCGGCCAUUUAAAUACUCAUAGGGCAGGCGAGACCUUAAAUUAUAAUCAAAAG